AGGGAUGGCAACGGGUCGGAUCGGUUCGGAUAUCUGUGAUAUCCAAACCCGAACCCGAAAAUUUUCACCAAACCCGAACCCGAUCCAAACCCGUUUGGAUCUGCAAAACGAAACCCGAACCCGAUCCAACGGAUUUCGGAUCGGGUUCGGGUUUUAACCAAACCCGAAUUUUUGGGGGAAAAAAUUACUGAUAAUUGAACUACAAAACCUGAAUUAGAAAUUAGAAUCAAAGUGGAUUGUAAAUAAUGAAGCAACACCGAAUCUAAACAUUACAGUCCAUAAUAUAAUCCAAAGUACCAUUACACGGUACUUCAUACUUCGAAAACAAACCACAAAAUCAAAGUGCAACGGAGUUGUUGGCUGAGGCGGAGAUUGGAGUUGUAGGUGGAGGCGGACAGUGGAGUUGGAAACAGAGUGGCGGAGCUGGACAACGGAGAGGCAGAGAUAGGGUUCUUGUGUUUUGAGAGAUAAAUGCAAAAUAUGAGAAAUUAAAAUUGAGAGAUGGAGAGCGAAAGAGAUUUCACGGGUUGCGAGUGGUUAGGGUUGCAGUCUCGAUCGAGUGGAGUGGCGCUGCUGUGAAAAUAGGGUUUAGGAUGAUGUUUACAAUAGAGUAGAUAUAUACGCGAGCCUGAUAAAGUGGGUUACCAAGGCCCAAACUCAGACUUAAGCCCACGGUGAUAUAUGUAUGAAAUCAAAAUUCUAGGCCCAAUAUAUAUUAUGGUCUAAAAAUUUAUAAAUAAUAUAUAUAACAUUUAUAAUAUAUAUAAUAUAUAAAUAUAUAAUAUAUAAUAUAUAUUAUUUGGAUUUUUUUUCGGGUUUCGGG
rnacentral:lncRNA from 1 species